GGUACUGUUGGGAGAUAGUGAACCCUUUGGGAUAGUGAGACUUGUGAGAGGAUCUUACGGUAAGAAACCACCAGCCCUGGCUGCUCUGCUCAUGGGAAGAGUGCCCUGUGAAUUCUCAGACUCAGCUGAAGGAAGCACAUUUCCUUGUGGGCAGGACACAUGACAGCCUCCAACGGAGUCACCAGCAGAGCAACCUCUAGUCUAUUGUGAGCUCACGCACACUGGGCGUCUCCCAGGAAGCUUGGGAACCUGGCAGGUUCACCUGGCCUCCAGCCACCCCGAUGACUCAGGAACUUAGAGAUCCAUUCAGUGUCUGUGGGCUGACAAAGAUCUGCUUUUCCUUGGAGGGGAGAAAAUGGCAGAGGACUGUGGUAGACCUCCUAGCUUCUAGAGCCUUGGAUUCCUUUGGAAGAGGACUUGUGUGGUCUUGCUAAACCAGAGUCUAGGCAGGAGAAGACUUUGUGUUGGCCUGUUAUGUGGAAGGACUCUGAAGACAGUUCCAAAAAUAAACAAAUAAAUAAAUAAACUUAAUGUUUUGACAU
rnacentral:lncRNA from 1 species